rnacentral:antisense_RNA from 1 species
CUUCAGCGACCCGAGCCACAACGGCCGCUCGACAGGACGGUCCUGCCCGUAGGUCUCCAGCAGCGCGCCGGCCUC